GGCGGGGCAGGGCGCGGCAAGGGCCUGCCGGUCGGCGGCCGGGAGGCGCGCGAAAGGGAGAGGCGCGAAGGAGAGGCGCGAAAGAAAAGGCAGGUGGGGGAGGGUCACAAUAUCUUUGGAUCGCAGUCAUGGAGGUGACCAUCGGAGAGCAGCUUUAAAGAAAAGAAAUCUUGCAUUUGAUAUUAUGAUGGAAACAUCAGGUAGAAGAAGAAAAAGAGUUAAUCCUCAACAUGAUGCAGAACACUAUAUUAAACUGAAAACUGACAAGACUGGUCUAACAGAGCAAUUCAUCAGCCCAUGCAAAGGUCGUGGUGUAAUUACCUCACAGUUUUUCAAACAGGGGGAAUUUGUUCUUGAAUACCGUGGAGAACUUUGCAAAGCAGAUCCUUAUCUUGAAAAAAACAAGUUCAAUGAUACGGUGGAAGUGUUCUUAUUUGAUUUCAAAUGGAAAGGAACCUCUUGGUGCAUUGAUGCUUCUGUUGAAGACAAGUCAUUAGGAAGGCUUGUGAAUGAUGACCACCGAAGGCCUAACUGUAAGAUG